rnacentral:tRNA from 1 species
ACAUGGGUGGAUCAGUGGUAGAAUUCUUUCCUGCCAUGCGGGAGGCCCAGGUUCAAUUCCCGGCUCAUGCA